rnacentral:rRNA from 1 species
UGGCCAUCCGAGUUGUAAUCUAGAGAAGUGUUACCCGCGUCGGACCGUGUACAAGUCUCCUGGAAUGGAGCGUCAUAGAGGGUGAGAAUCCCGUCUUUGACACGGACUACCGAGGCUUUGUGGUGCGCUCUCAACGAGUCGAGUUGUUUGGGAAUGCAGCUCAAAAUGGGUGGUAAAUUCCAUCUAAAGCUAAAUAUUGGCGAGAGACCGAUAGCGAACAAGUACCGUGAGGGAAAGAUGAAAAGAACUUUGGAAAGAGAGUUAAACAGUACGUGAAAUUGCUGAAAGGGAAACGCUUGAAGUCAGUCGCGUUGGCCGGGAAUCAGCCUUGCUUUUUGCUGGGUGUACUUUCUGGUUGACGGGCCAGCAUCAGUUUUGACCGGUGGAAAAAGUCCAAGGGAAUGUGGCAUCUUCGGAUGUGUUAUAGCCNUUGGUCGUAUACAUCGGUUGGGACUGAGGAACUCAGCACGCCGAAAGGCCGGGUCUUUGACCACGUUCGUGCUUAGGAUGCUGGCAUAAUGGCUUUAAUCGACCCGUCUUGAAACACGGACCAAGGAGUCUAACAUGCCUGCGAGUGUUUGGGUGGAAAACCCGGACGCGUAAUGAAAGUGAAAGUUGAGAUCCCUGUCAUGGGGAGCAUCGACGCCCGGACCUGAAGUUUUCUGACGGCCCUGCGGUAGAGCAUGUAUGUUGGGACCCGAAAGAUGGUGAACUAUGCCUGAAUAGGGUGAAGCCAGAGGAAACUCUGGUGGAGGCUCGUAGC